GAUGAACGCUGGCGGCGUGCCUAAUACAUGCAAGUCGAGCGAAUGGAUUAAGAGCUUGCUCUUAUGAAGUUAGCGGCGGACGGGUGAGUAACACGUGGGUAACCUGCCCAUAAGACUGGGAUAACUCCGGGAAACCGGGGCUAAUACCGGAUAACAUUUUGAACCGCAUGGUUCGAAAUUGAAAGGCGGCUUCGGCUGUCACUUAUGGAUGGACCCGCGUCGCAUUAGCUAGGUGGAGGUAACGGCUCACCAAGGCAACGAUGCGUAGCCGACCUGAGAGGGUGAUCGGCCAAACUGGGACUGAGACACGGCCCAGACUCCUACGGGAGGCAGCAGUAGGGAAUCUUCCGCAAUGGACGAAAGUCUGACGGAGCAACGCCGCGUGAGUGAUGAAGGCUUUCGGGUCGUAAAACUCUGUUGUUAGGGAAGAACAAGUGCUAGUUGAAUAAGCUGGCACCUUGACGGUACCUAACCAGAAAGCCACGGCUAACUUCGUGCCAGCAGCCGCAGUAA
rnacentral:rRNA from 1 species